rnacentral:rRNA from 1 species
AUUGAACGCUGGCGGCAUGCCUUACACAUGCAAGUCGAACGGCAGCACGGGAGCAAUCCUGGUGGCGAGUGGCGAACGGGUGAGUAAUAUAUCGGAACGUGCCCAGUCGUGGGGGAUAACGCGGCGAAAGCUGUGCUAAUACCGCAUACGAUCUAAGGAUGAAAGCGGGGGAUCGCAAGACCUCGCGCGAUUGGAGCGGCCGAUAUCAGAUUAGCUAGUUGGUGGGGUAAAGGCCCACCAAGGCGACGAUCUGUAGCUGGUCUGAGAGGACGACCAGCCACACUGGAACUGAGACACGGUCCAGACUCCUACGGGAGGCAGCAGUGGGGAAUUUUGGACAAUGGGCGCAAGCCUGAUCCAGCAAUGCCGCGCGCAGGAUGAAGGCCUUCGGGUUGUAAACUGCUUUUGUACGGAACGAAACGGCCCUUUCUAAUACAGGGGGCUAAUGACGGUACCGUAAGAAUAAGCACCGGCUAACUACGUGCCAGCAGCCGCAGUAACAC